UCCGUAGGGUGAACCUGCGGAGGGAUCAUUGCUGGAACGCGCCCCAGGCGCACCCAGAAACCCUUUGUGAACUUAUACCUUACUGUUGCCUCGGCGCAUGCUGGCCCCCUCGGGGUCCCUUGGAGACAAGGAGCAGGCACGCCGGCGGCCAAGUUAACUCUUGUUUUUACACUGAAACUCUGAGAAAAAACACAAAUGAAUCAAAACUUUCAACAACGGAUCUCUUGGUUCUGGCAUCGAUGAAGAACGCAGCGAAAUGCGAUAAGUAAUGUGAAUUGCAGAAUUCAGUGAAUCAUCGAAUCUUUGAACGCACAUUGCGCCCUCUGGUAUUCCGGAGGGCAUGCCUGUUCGAGCGUCAUUUCAACCCUCAAGCAUUGCUUGGUGUUGGGGCACUGCCUGUAAAAGGGCAGGCCCUGAAAUCUAGUGGCGAGCUCGCCAGGACCCCGAGCGCAGUAGUUAAACCCUCGCUUUGGAAGGCCCUGGCGGUGCCCUGCCGUUAAACCCCCAACUUUUGAAAAUUUGACCUCGGAUCAGGUAGGAAUACCCGCUGAACUUAAGCAUAUCAA
rnacentral:rRNA from 1 species